UUCCUGGUGGCUGAAAUGGUAAAGAAUCAGCCUCCAAUGCAGGAGACCCAGGUUCAAUCCCUGGUUUGGGAA
rnacentral:tRNA from 1 species